UUUCCUUCCUCCUUCCUUCCUCCAGGUCGGACACCCCUCAUUGACAGGCUCUAAUCCUCGGAUCGGAACUCCUUCUGCCUGGAAGAUUUGGCCGGCUUUUCCUUUGCUCUCGGCGUUCCUGAAAAGCCAAUUCGUUCUGAGCCGCCCUGACGGCGGGGCUGGGGGAGGAGGGCCGCGUCCAACCUCGGGCACCACCUGGGUGGUCGCCUACCUGUUACAAAGUGGCUGCUGCUCCUGGUACAUGCACAUUCGAUGCAGGAAAGAAGAAGGAAGAGGCAAAGGCACUGUGACCAUCCUUUUAGGAGAACUGCAAAGCUGUUCCCGCAACACCUCACCACAGCAGAUCUCCUAUGAUCUCCUGGGCCAGAAUUGGGGAAAUGACCAUUCCUAGCUGCAAAGGAGUCUUCUUGUUUUUAAAUGAAUUGUCCACUUCAUGGCUGGUUGUACUUUCCAAGAUGGCUGCAGUGAGGCCGCCCAUGACAGCUUCGCUUCUUAUGACCUGAGGUUGACACUCCUCCGACAGAGAGGUACAGUGUGUGUCCACUCCUUUCCAACAUGAGAGGGCCUGUGACCAUGAUAGAAGUGACACGGUGUGACUUCUACAGAGAAUCCGGUAUCUCCCUGAUUCUCUUGAAACACUGUUCUUGGAACCUGCCACUGUGCUUUGAAGAAGCCAAGGAGCCACAGAGAGCCGCAUGUGGGUGUUGUAGCUGACAACCCGGCUGUGGUCCCACCUGUCAGACGAUACCACUCACCAGUUGUGUACAUGAAGGAGCCUUCAGAUGAUUCCAGCUUGCAGUAGUCAUCCCCAGCAUUUGAGCUAUCCCAGCUUACGCUUUGUGGAGCAGUUGCUCCUUGCUGACUCCCACCCAAAUUGUAGGUUUGUGAGCAAAUAAAAAAGAUGAUUGUUGUU